GACGAACGCUGGCGGCGUGCUUAACACAUGCAAGUCGAACGGAAAGGCCCUGCUUUUGUGGGGUGCUCGAGUGGCGAACGGGUGAGUAACACGUGAGUAACCUGCCCUUGACUUUGGGAUAACUUCAGGAAACUGGGGCUAAUACCGGAUAGGAGCUCCUGCUGCAUGGUGGGGGUUGGAAAGUUUCGGCGGGUGGGGAUGGACUCGCGGCUUAUCAGCUUGUUGGUGGGGUAGUGGCUUACCAAGGCUUUGACGGGUAGCCGGCCUGGGAGGGUGACCGGCCACAUUGGGACUGAGAUACGGCCCAGACUCCUACGGGAGGCAGCGGUGGGGAAUAUUGCACAAUGGGCGGAAGCCUGAUGCAGCAACGCCGCGUGCGGGAUGACGGCCUUCGGGUUGUAAACCGCUUUCGCCUGUGACGAAGCGUGAGUGAUGGUAAUGGGUAAAGAAGCACCGGCUAACUACGUG
rnacentral:rRNA from 1 species